UAACAAAGUACUUUGUUUAUUAAUACACAGUGUUCCAGAAAAAAAUCAAAUACACUUAUCCAUGGCAACCAAAAUCAUUGAGAAUGUGCUGACAUUCUCCUAAAACUGUAGCUGACAAAACACCAGUUGGCAGCAUUGAAGGGUUAAGCGAAACUUAACAAAUUUGACAGAGGAAAAAGAAAACAAAUUCCGAGUUAAGUUGUCACUCUCUGCUUAAUUCUCUCUAUAUAUAUCAAGACAUGGCAGGGCAGUUCUUGUGUGUUACUGUGAGUCAGGUUCCUGUUAGAUUGUUAGUCUUAAUCUGGCUGUUUAGUUUGCAACUUUGCUUUUCUAUAGUAUUGGGUAAUUGAGAACCAACAUUUUACUCACCCACAACAAUUAUCUCUGCUGUGAAGUAUCAUUUUACAGCACACCAAUUCUUCAUUAAAAAAAAAAAAAAAAAAUCAGUUGCCCAGAAAAAGAGUGCAUGAAGUCUCUGCUAGCUUUCCAGUUACGAUUGAAAAUGUGCUACUGCCCAGACUGUGAACAUCCCAGCUGUCAUCUAAGUACUCUAAGAUACUGAAACAAAAGCCACAUGUCAGCAAUACCAAUAGCUGGCUGAGAAACCUUUUUGUUUUAAAAAUUCAAACAGUAAUUUGCAAGUAAGAAAAUGAAGAAUAUUGACUCUUUCAAAUUGGAAAAAGUUGCUCUUUUAAAUGCAAAUGCUAAAAUAAUUUUAACAGAAAAUGGAAUGGUUUCUGAAGGUUAAUUAUUUCUUAUAAAUGCCUAAAAUUCAGAAAUCAUCAACUUUUAUUACCUUUUCUGUAAUAUUUGGAUGGAGUUUUCAUACAACUGUGGUGGAUAAAAUAUUUCUUAACCCAGAUUUGAGUCUCAGUGACACAUUAUGACGAUUAUGUGUUUCAUACUGCCUACAUGUUAUUACCUAUUAUUUGCAGAGAGGCAGUUCUCCAGAAAACUCUUGCACUAAAUGUUUUCUUUCAACAGCCAGGAUUUUGUAUUGUAGUGGAGAAAGACAUAGUAGAUUAUUGCAAACUCCCAGAUUGUGUGGGAUACAGGAUUCUACAAAUCAUCAUGCACACUCCAGUAUUGUUUGCUGCUUCUUAGGGAAGAGGAAGCUUCAUGUUUAUCAGGUCACUAGAAAAAGAAGUUGAAAAUAAAUGAAUGAACUUACUUUGUUUUAUCAAAGAGUCGGUCAAAACACUUAAAGUUGCAAAUAAGGGAAAUUAAUUUCAAAAGAAAGGCCAAAAUUAAGAAAGAAACUCUCAAACAUAUUUAUUGGUUGAGAGUUAAUUAUUUCACCAUCCCAGCUACUCUGUUGGACUUGCCACAGGAAUUUAGUGUGAAAGACAUUACUGGCACACUCUCCUCUUUUUAAACUGGGCUACCCAAGCACUAUCCCUCCCAUUGGAAAGUGGGAAAAUAUUAAGAAAUGAAAAUACUGAUUACAUUGUCCUUCCUCCUCCAUGCUGUAAUUUCCAGCAUCUACUUUUCCUGGUCCUGAGAAUGAUCAAGCACUAUAACAUCACAUAGCAAUGUGGAGGAUUAGAGAUUUUCUCACCACUCAGC
ensembl:lncRNA